rnacentral:rRNA from 1 species
AGCGAACGCUGGCGGCAUGCCUAACACAUGCAAGUCGAACGAACUCUUCGGCGUUAGUUUCGGGAGGGUGAGUAACCCGUUGGAAAGUGCCUUUUUGUUCGGAAUAACUCAGGGACACUUGUGCUAUUAAAGCCUGUGCACUUCGGGGUAAUGAUUUAUCGCCAUUCGAGCUGCCGGCGUCUGUUUGGCUAGUUGGUGUGGUAACGGGUCACCAAGGCGACGAUUAGUAGCUGGUCGGAGAGGAUGACCAGCGACACUGAGACUGAGACACGGCCCAGACUCCUACGGGAGGCAGCAGUGGGGAAUCUUGCGCAAUGGGCGAAGGCCUGACGCAGCCAGGCCGCGUGAAUUAUGAAGGUCUUAGGAUUGUAAAAUUCUUUUACCGGGGACGAUAAUGACGGUACCCGGAGAAGAAGCCCCGGCUAACUUCGUG